rnacentral:tRNA from 1 species
CAGAUAGCUCAGUUGGUAGAGCAGUAGACUGAAAAUCUACGUGUCCCUGGUUCAAUUCCGGGUCUG